GGAGGAUAUUUGUAUUUGGUGUUAGAUGAGGUCAGGAUGACCUUUCUCACUGCAGAGGUUAGCAGGUCCAGUUCUGCAGUGAACAUCCUACUUCUCUUUCAGACUGAAGGUCAAGAAGCCGGGAUAGCUGACAAGCAAGUGAAUCAGGUGGAAAUGAGGGUACCAUUAACCAGAAGCCAGAUGUUUGAAACAGCUCAAAGCAUUCUGUAUUUGAUGGAGAAACUUUACUUCUAAUCACUUGCAGUCAAUGCUGUUCACUCCUUGCCUUGUUAGAAGACAAGUUUUAUUUCUAAAAGCAGCUGCCUGACCAAGAACAGAACACAGAGAGUUUAAAUUCCAAGGAUUAAAUUGGAUUUUCCCAUGCAAGAGCACGUAUACAGUGAAAUACAUGCCAUUCUGUUUACUCCUCUAUAGAGGCUAGAGAAGAGAGUUUUAGAAGCUUGCUGCUGAUAGCUCGCAUACCAG
rnacentral:lncRNA from 1 species